AUCUCACCCACAGAAAAUGGCAGACAUGAGAACACGCAGGGGAAUGCUGCUCCCCACUGCUCCAUCAGACACCUGCUUUGCACCUGGCCUGCCUGAUCCUUUUCUUCCUAGAUACGAAGAGAUCAUUCUUGACCCUUGAAAAGCCGUUUACUUGGGAAAAAUGGGAUUCAACGUGGGGAAAGCAGUGCGAGCUAUAACAAUGUGACCAGUUAUGCAUUUCAAAACGUAUUUUCCAGACGUUAAGUAUCUACCUAAGAAAACUUUAACCUAGAACAGCCCCAGGGACAUAACUUUCAGAGGCAGAGACCCACCGCACGCAGCGGACGCUGAAGCGGACAUGCAGCCGCCCUGUGUCCGACCCACGGCCGGCCCAGCAGCCACGUCACCCCCGGCCCUCCUCACCCGGCCCCGCGGCCCUUCCCCAGGGGCGGCACGGGGCACACCGGCGAGACACGCCCCGAGGGGGCCGAACGGAGCGAUCUCGCCGCGCCCCUUCCCCUAACGCUGCCCGAGAAACGGAGGAGCCCGAGGAACACGCAGACCGACCUCCACCUCGUCCUCUUCUUCCCUCUCGCCUCCCUCCACGCCCUCCGCUGCCGCCAUGUCGCCAGCCGCUCUCCCGCCGCCUCGCCUCAGCGCGCACCACGUGGGCGCGGCGCCGCCAUCUUAGAGGGGGCCCGGCCCCGCCCCUGUCCGUGCCUCCAGCAGGAGGCGGCCGUGAGGCGCUUUGUCGCUGCGCUGUCGUUACGUUUGCCGUGCUUGCGUCGAGGGUGCCUUCCUACUCACUGUGCCACCAUUAAUUCAAAUGUUAAAUAAAUACCUGUGAUAAUAAUAAAAGCUGGUGCCGAGGGAACUCACGGCAGCCUCUAC